CCUACGUGAGGCAGCAGUAGGGAAUAUUGCUCAAUGGGGGAAACCCUGAAGCAGCAACGCCGCGUGGAGGAUGAAGGUUUUCGGAUUGUAAACUCCUUUUGUUAGAGAAGAUAAUGACUGUAUCUAACGAAUAAGCACCGGCUAACUCCGUGCCAGCAGCCGCGGUAAUACGGCGGGUGCAAGCGUUACUCGGAAUCACUGGGCGUAAAGAGCGCGUAGGCGGGAUAGCAAGUCAGAUGUGAAAUCCUAUGGCUUAACCAUAGAACUGCAUUUGAAACUGUUAUUCUAGAGUAUGGGAGAGGUAGGUGGAAUUCUUGGUGUAGGGGUAAAAUCCGUAGAGAUCAAGAGGAAUACUCAUUGCGAAGGCGACCUACUAGAACAUAACUGACGCUGAUGCGCGAAAGCGUGGGGAGCAAACAGGAUUAGAUACCCCUGUAGUC
rnacentral:rRNA from 1 species